AUGCGAUAAGUAAUGUGAAUUGCAGAAUUCAGUGAAUCAUCGAAUCUUUGAACGCACAUUGCGCCCGCCAGUAUUCUGGCGGGCAUGCCUGUUCGAGCGUCAUUUCAACCCUCAAGCCCAGCUUGGUGUUGGGAGCUGCAGUCCUGCUGCACUCCCCAAAUACAUUGGCGGUCACGUCGAGCUUCCAUAGCGUAGUAAUUUACAUAUCGUUACUGGUAAUCGUCGCGGCCACGCCGUUAAACCCCAACUUCUGAAUGUUGACCUCGGAUCAGGUAGGAAUACCCGCUGAACUUAA
rnacentral:misc_RNA from 1 species